rnacentral:rRNA from 1 species
GAUGAACGCUGGCGGCGUGCCUAAUACAUGCAAGUCGAGCGAAGCGGGGACGGGUGAGUAACACGUUGAUAACUUCCUCUAAGACUGGGAUAACUUCGGGAAACCGGAGCUAAACCGGAUACUUAUCGAUGGAUCCGCGCUGCAUUAGCUAGUUGGUAAGGUAACGGCUUACCAAGGCAACGAUGCAUAGCCGACCUGCAAGGGUGAUCGGCCACACUGGAACUGAGACACGGGCCAGACGCCUACGGGAGGCAGCAUUGGGGAAUAUUGCGAAAUGGGCGAAAGCCUGACGGAGCACGGCCGCGUGAGUGAUGAAGGUCUUCGGAUCGUAAAACUCUGUUAUUAGGGAAGCGGUACCUAAUCAGAAAGCCACGGCUAACUACGUGCCAGCAGCCGCGGUAAUUC